rnacentral:lncRNA from 1 species
UCUGUGUAUCUGAGGCCAUACAGUUGUGUGGCCAUACAGUUAUUUUAAAGCAAGGUCUUAUUAUGUCACCAUGGCUGGCCUGGAACUCAUAAUGAUAUGCCUGCCUCUGCCUCCUAAGUGCUGGGAUUAAAGGCAUGUCCUGCCACUCGGGGCUAGCUUGUCUUAAUGGCAGGUGUUGAUGUCUAACUUGGAGCUGAAGGUAGAUGGGGGCAAACAUAUGUCUGCGGAGCUAUUGCUUUGGUUGACACUGAUGGUUUUUUUUGGGGGGGAGCUUGAUGGUUGUGGCCAUGCUUGAGGGGUGGGCACCUCUGACCAUCCUUCCAUCCUGGAUCUGUGUUUCUGUAGCCAGGGUUACUCUAUGUCUGGAAGGGGAGGGGUGUGGAGACAGUAUGUGUACCCUGCAGGCUCCCUAGCCAGCCGCACCUUCCCUAACCAUCAGGGCAGGCAGCCAGGGGAGCCCCGGGGUGCCAUUUACUCUGGCACUUUCUGUAUGUCUGUGGGAGGGGGAGAUGAGCUGAUAAGCCUUAUCUGCUAUUACCAGGGCCAUGCUGAAUAACCGUUCUAAUGAGGUGGCCUCGCUGGGACCACCAGCUCCCAGGCCCCCUUCCUAUUGGGUAGGGAUAUGGUCAGCCAGACCUGGAGCACUGAGCCAAUCCACUAGAGACCUGGUAGAGCCUGUGUCCCCAGAGACCCUUAUUUAUUUAUUUAUUUAUUUAUUUAUUUAUUUAUUUAUUUUUAGGUCUGCCUUGUUUCAUAGAGGAAGGUCCUAGGAACUGCAGCUGAGACAAUCAGUCCUCUCUUUUCCCUGGACUGGGCUGACUAGAGAGACAGGAGCCACUCAAUCUGAUCUUCUGAAGGCAGGCAGUAUGAGGCCCAGAACUUGGGAUGGAGUGAAUUGGAGUCACAGUGACAGAAAGCUCUAGAGAAAAGGGGAGAAACAAGAAGCAGGGGGUCCUGGGAACAGAUUUAUUAUUAUUUUAUUUUAUUUUUUUAGUGUAGUCACGCAAAGGGGCAGAAGUGCUGGCAGGAUGGGCCUAGGGACUGGGGUACUUAGGCUGAAAUAAACAAUUAGCAAGUGUCAGAAUGAAUCAGAGAGGUGGGCAUAAAGGCGAAGAAAGUAUCAGCCAGUGAGAGGCAUGGACAUAGGAAGAGAUGCCGGACUGGAGAGGGACUAAAGAAAACAGAUGAGUAAAGCAAGGAGCAAGGAGCAAGGAGCAAGGAGAGAAGGGCCCAGAGAGGCGUGGGCGGAGGGAAAGAAAGCAGGUCUGAGGGAAAUGUAAGGACCAAAGAUGUAGAGGCCUAGCUGGCCUGGCUGAAGGGAAGCUAGGUCCUUGGAGACCCGGCAAGGCAUGAGCUAGGGCUGGGACCCCGGACAGGGCAAGGAUCGCCUGGUGGUGGAGACGGGCAGGGGGGUCUGAGUGGGCCUGAGCCGCUGUCCCGGGUAAUUUUUCAUCUCGGCCGGCUAAUCUUUGUUCCCGGCGAAGAUAAUGAAUAGCCAAUCGUUAUCUGCCCGGCUCCCGGAGGCUGCCCGAGAAUGGGGUUGUACAGGGCUGGGAAUUGUUUCCAAAGUGCCGCGGAAUAAAUGGUGUUUCUUAUCUCUGCCUUCCAGAUUAUCGCAGCCCUUUCAGAGCGCACACAACAAAUGCGCCCGCCAUCGAAUGCAGCAUUUACCACCACAGAUCCGCGCGCCGAUGGGCAGGCUGAUAAAGUCCGCGGGGGGCUCGCCGGGGCGAGUGUGCGCCCCGGCUCUGCCUGGUGUGUUUGGAGGAACACGUGGGUAUGGCAGCGCGUGGACCCUGAGCACGCAAGGAUGUGAGUGUGCGAGUAAGUGUGCCUCGAGAAAGUUCACGUGUGCGAGACCCUGCGCACAUGCAUGGUGAGUGUUGUGGCGAGUGCCAGAGCAGAGGCCACCAAGAGGCUGGCGGGUAGGGUUGCUGCACGUGGCCUCGUGGGAAGCAUGCGGCUAAUGUGCGCCGAGUGCACGAGACAAUUUACUUUGAGGGCCUACAAGUACCUAGCCUUGGAGGAUGUUGUUUGAGGGUGCGGAACAGAGGGGUUCGAAGCCACUCCAAGUAUGUGUAGCACUUUGCAGGCUGCACUCCACAAGGUGUCUUCCUAAAGCUGCUGGAUGGAAGCGGUAGCUGACGUUUGUGCCGGGGACUCAGGCCUUUGGAACACGCACGGGUCUGUGGGACAGUGUGGACCCAGAACGACUAGGUGUGCAGAGAGAUGCGCGAAGAGCUCCCAUAGCAGGAUAAAAUGAAGAUGCGACAAGUUCAUGGUGCGAGAGAGAAGCCUGAUCCAAUCUGCUGACAUCCUGGGAAUCAUCAAGGCAACGUCAGGACGUGUCCUGGACAGCCAUGCCUACCACAGCUAAAUGUUCUCUGAGGUUGAGGCAGAUCAAGGACGUGAGAGGAAAAGCUGACUUUGUUCCAGUCUCACCACCCAGCCACACGUUCCAGCCCCAAGACUGGGAGAAGUGCCCUGGUAGAAAUCCAGCCCUCUUGGUCUCCUCAUCGCGACUGAGGGGUGAUUCUGUGUGAAUUCACACUGGACACUGUAUAAGACAACUGCACCUUGCUCUUCUGCUCUACAGUGUAUCUGAGGCCAACUUGGUAACACACACAGAGCUGCUCUGUCUGCCUCAGCUCCUGGGUUGUUUAGUGAGUGGAUGUGUCAGGGCUUGUUGCACCCCCUCCCCCAGGACUGGACACAAGGUGACUGCCAUCGUCUCAGUCUGACAGACAAUGGAGUCUUCACCACCUUUCAGCACUUACAAAAGUUGCCUUGGAGACCCCCAACUCUGGAGUCCCUCUGUCAAAUAGGAUACGGG